rnacentral:rRNA from 1 species
GGUACAGGGGUAGCUUGCUACCCGCUGACGAGCGGCGGACGGGUGAGUAAUGCAUAGGAAUCUGCCCGGUAGUGGGGGAUAACCUGGGGAAACCCAGGCUAAUACCGCAUACGUCCUACGGGAGAAAGGGGGCUCCGGCUCCCGCUAUUGGAUGAGCCUAUGUCGGAUUAGCUAGUUGGUGAGGUAAUGGCUCACCAAGGCGACGAUCCGUAGCUGGUCUGAGAGGAUGAUCAGCCACAUCGGGACUGAGACACGGCCCGAACUCCUACGGGAGGCAGCAGUGGGGAAUAUUGGACAAUGGGCGAAAGCCUGAUCCAGCCAUGCCGCGUGUGUGAAGAAGGCCCUCGGGUUGUAAAGCACUUUCAGCGAGGAAGAACGCCUAGUGGUUAAUACCCACUAGGAAAGACAUCACUCGCAGAAGAAGCACCGGCUAACUCCGUGCCAGCAGCCGCGGUAAUACGGAGGGUGCAAGCGUUAAUCGGAAUUACUGGGCGUAAAGCGCGCGUAGGUGGCUUGAUAAGCCGGUUGUGAAAGCCCCGGGCUCAACCUGGGAACGGCAUCCGGAACUGUCAAGCUAGAGUGCAGGAGAGGAAGGUAGAAUUCCCGGUGUAGCGGUGAAAUGCGUAGAGAUCGGGAGGAAUACCAGUGGCGAAGGCGGCCUUCUGGACUGACACUGACACUGAGGUGCGAAAGCGUGGGUAGCAAACAGGGAUUAGAUACCCUGGGUAGUCCACGCCGUAAACGAUGUCGACCAGCCGUUGGGUGCCUAGCGCACUUUGGUGGCGAA